GAAGAAGAAGAAGAAGAGGAGGAGGGUGUUUUCCCUGAUCACAAUCAAACUCUUCUUCUUCUUCUUCUUCUUCC